rnacentral:rRNA from 1 species
AACGAACGCUGGCGGCAUGCCUAACACAUGCAAGUCGAACGAGACCUUCGGGUCUAGUGGCGCACGGGUGCGUAACGCGUGGGAACCUGCCCUUAGGUUCGGAAUAACUCCCCGAAAGGGGUGCUAAUACCGGAUAAUGUCUUCGGACCAAGGAUUUAUCGCCUUUGGAUGGGCCCGCGUUGGAUUAGCUAGUUGGUAGGGUAAAAGCCUACCAAGGCGACGAUCCAUAGCUGGUCUGAGAGGAUGAUCAGCCACACUGGGACUGAGACACGGCCCAGACUCCUACGGGAGGCAGCAGGGGGGAAUAUUGGACAAUGGGCGAAAGCCGGACCCAGCAAUGCCGGGUGAGGGAUGAAGGCCUUAGGGUUGUAAAGCUCUUUUACCCGGGAUGAUAAUGACAGUACCGGGAGAAUAAGCCCCGGCUAACUCCGU